rfam:Aedes albopictus isolate Foshan contig8510, whole genome shotgun sequence.
UGUUUUGUGGCUUAGUUGGUUAAAGCGCUGGACUAGCGAUAUGGAGCCGUGGAUUCUAAUCCCACCAAAACAA